GAUGCUCUUACUCGGUCGAAUGGUCGAUAGGCGAGGCGGCACCGGCGGUGCAUGAAUGGAGGGGAAGAGGCAAGGGACGAGUUGGCAUGGCCGGGUCCGGCAGAUAUGGCACUGGUCACACAUGAAGACGAGACGGCGGCGGUGAGGACGUCAUGCACCCUUCUCUGAGUUUUCUCCCACUGCUCCUCCUCCUCCAUCGGGCUGAUUCACCCAGUGCGCACCCACGCCGCCGACGGGACUCUGUGCGGGAUUCUCUACUCAGCUCUCCAUGCGGUUGUGCGGCGCCUUCCAUGCCUGCAUCGCCUUGUCUCCGGCCUACUCGCAGCAGGGCCAGGGAGCAGCGUCGAUUUGAUCCAAGAGGAGCAUCGGUGUGGGAUCUGCUGCGGCCAGGCCUAACUCGUCGUUGCAGUCAAAUCCAAUUGCUGAUGGUCUGGGGCUGCCAGCCAGGGGCUCGAGAGAAGGCGUAGUGGCGGUCCUCCCCCCCUCUCGAGCCCUCACCGUGAUGAAGCUAUGGGACGAGGGGGAACACACAUGGUGUCAUUCGCGCUCUCCUGGUCGUGGCCUGAGGUGCUUGCUGAUAAAGUUUAUGAUGGUAUGGCUGCUGAUGUGUGGUCCUGUGGCAUAAUCUUGUUUGUCCUUAUGGUUGGGUAUUUACCCUUUGAUGACCCCAAUUUAAUGACUUUGUAUAAAUUGGUAAGUUGCUGCAACAGACAUACCAUGCUUGUCAUGUUAAGUUGGUUUCCAGAGCUAAUUUUUUUGGCCACCAUGGUUUUCUACCGGUGUGAGAAAUCUUACCCAGCACAUUCUUGAUCCCAAUCCUCACACUGUAAGUGCCAGUUGACUGUUAUGAUGACAAGUGAACACUGCAGCAGCUGAAUGAUUUGCAUGUUUCUCUUUCAGGUUAGAGAACAACAAUUCGAUGUGAAUUUUUGGAUCAAAUCCCUGAAUUCUCUUAUUUUGAUUGAAAUUGAAACACUACGCCAGGUUCUGGUUGCUUUAGGUUUUGGUUCAGAUCAUCAUCAUAUGUUGAAUCGAAAUAUUUUCAACAAGGUACUUAAUGGGACACCUCAUUAUUCUAGAUCCUUUAACACUAGUCUGUGGGUGUGUGUGCCUUUUAGGUUACAACUACCAGCAUUUCUUUAUAUGAUAUAGCAAUAGAUUUCCCUACAAAUAAUUCUAUUAUGUUUCAAAGUUACAUACAUCCUUUUGUUCACAUAUAGGAGAAAAAUCAAAUGGUUAAAUAC